AACUUCAACAGUGAUGGGUCAUCAGAGUCUAAUAUUUAGGGAUGAUUCAAAGACAGAUAAUCUGAUCUGCCUCACAACAGCCUUAUGCUUCACCUACUUUAAAAGAGCUACUUCUAAUUUGUACCAAAACAAGAUCAGCAUCAGGUCCCUGGAUUCCAGCAAAAAAAGUCCCACAGCACCAAGACAAUGUUAUAAAGUAUCGUAUACCACAUACACUUGAGGACAGAAGGGGAGAAAUUUCCACACCAUGGAAAACAACAGCACUGGCUGAAUAAGAAGAGUCUACAAAGACAUCAUGAAUUAGCAGGAAACUACUUUGGAAAGAUAAGAUAUUAAACAUUUUCUGUGGGGAAUAAGAACACUGGAGAUUAUUUACUUUGCUUUAAUUACUUUGGCACACUGCUAGAUUAGUUUUUGUACGUUACUAGAUUUCCAUACCAUCAUUUAACAAAUGCAAAGAAGCGAGUUCAUGUUCUGAAUAUUUAAAGUUCACCCUAUCCAUAUUAUCAUGUCCUGUGCUGGAGUUUCUGCUACUCAAUUCACAAAUAAAUAAGAGGGCUACAGCUUCACUUUAAAAAUUAUUACUACUACAGUGAUGCAAGCAGCACCCUUAAUUUCUGGGUAUGUCUUUCUCACUUGCCUUGCAUCUAUCUAGAUGCAUUUUGACAAGAAUUCACUGUUAACAUAUACAAUAUCAAGCAAGGAUAAACAUCAACUUUCACAGAUGCUUUUGAUCUAGAUUACAUUAGGUCAUCCUCCACUCGUCUGAACACUUCAUUUUGAUGGAAAAUUGAUAAUAAGCCAAUUUCCAGAGGGCUAUAACUUAUAAAAACACAGUGUAACUAAUACGUGUAAGAAGUUUCCAUGAAGGCUUUAUGAAGUGUUUAAUAGGCUUUAUAGUUACAGACCAUAUUACUGAACAACAAUAAUAAAAUAGCAGUUUUAGACUCUCCAAUAACUAGAGCACACAUAAACCCAUGAUAUGUAUAAAAAAUAUCACUAGUCCCAUGGUUUUGAUACUAAGAUGAGAUUUAUGAGAGCCUGUGCGGAAAUAAAGAUCUUGUCUUUUCCUUGGCUCUUGCCUAUUGCAAACCACUUAAUGACUGCCAUUUACAAGAAAUCCAAAAUUUCCUGCCUUGAAAAGAGCUGUCUGUACCAAAAA